rnacentral:lncRNA from 12 species
CUGGUGUGUGUCAAGCAGGCAUAAAGGGGCCGCUCUUCUAGCGAGGGCUGCUAUGACAUUGUUCAUCAAAAUCCAGAACACUUCCAGGAACUCAAAACAUGCAACCUGGGCACCAAACACGCAGGCAAAAAAAAUGGUAAGAGAUUUACCCGGCUGAUAUCCCGAGAGUCUGGGGAGACUGUGGACUUUAAAGUGGAAGUGGUUUUUAAGAGUAAUAAUGAUUGGAAAUCCGAGCUCUAGAUUGGGGGGGGGGGGGGGUAGAUUAAAAGUUUCAAUAUCAGCAUCACAGCCCGCGCUUCGGAGAACGUUAGCCACGGUCCCUAAGGUAUAGGGUAUCCUGCGAGCAUCACCUGCGCAGGUAGUCAUGGGGGGCGCGGGGGGGGGGGGGGGGCGGGGAGGAUGGAGCAGCCCCGGAGGCAGCGAUGCCCCCAGUCGCUGGAGAAGCUCUUCUCGGUUUUCAGAGAUUCUUCCCAACUCCAAGCCCUCCCCAGAGUCCAGGGGGAGGAAAUGCCCAUAUUACACACACACGGUCACAGCCCUCCAGCGGGAAGAGGACUGCGCUCCCCAGGCUUUUGAGAAUGGAGACUGAGAUCGCCUGCGCUGUGGAGCUUUGCGGGGAGGAAGGGUAGAGCUCGUUGUUAUAAUUGUGACUGAAGGAGACAGUACACCAGGCGACUGGCUCUUGGAGAGCGAAGGAUGAGCUGGCUGGAGGCGGGGGAACAGGGAGGCUUCGCCUUCUCUCAUUGGAGCAGAAAAUGGUAGAAUGGAACCUAUUAUCCGCUGUAUUAAAAUGCAAACUUAAAAAAAAUAAUAGAAUGCAAACUUCUCUUCUUCUCAUUCUUCAGUACAUAGUGAAAAAUUGAAAUAAACUAAAACACACACACA